CUCAGUCACCACCACAACAUUAGUACCUGCUUGGCUGGUAAGUUCCUCUGGAACCCACAUUAUGUUUUUUCUUAGUUUCCUAUUGCCCCCUCAUGGAAACCUAAACGUGCUGUGACCCCAAACAAACCAAGAUCGUCAGUCACAUUUCAAAGAUCCAAAGUAAAUACUAGAAGUAUGUGUAAAAACAGGUCUUAGCAGCAGGAAUCAAGUUUCCAUCUACAAACUCAAAAUAGGCAAAACUGAGCC
rnacentral:lncRNA from 1 species